rnacentral:rRNA from 1 species
AGAGUUUGAUCAUGGCUCAGAAUCAACGCUGGCGGCGUGCCUAAUACAUGCAAGUCGUACGCGAAGACCCCGCAAGGGGUGUAUAGCGUGGCAAACGGGUGAGUAACGCAUGGGCGACCUGCCUUCGAGUGGGGGAUAACCUUCCGAAAGGAGGGCUAAUACCGCAUGACAUACCGCGCUUGGAUGCGUGGAUAUCAAAGCCGGGGAUCGCAAGACCUGGCGCUUGAAGAGGGGCCUACGUCCGAUUAGCUAGUUGGUGGGGUAACGGCCUACCAAGGCGACGAUCGGUAUCCGGCCUGAGAGGGCGGACGGACACACUGGAACUGAGACACGGUCCAGACUCCUACGGGAGGCAGCAGUAGGGAAUUGUUCGCAAUGGGCGCAGGCCUGACGACGCAACGCUGCGUGGAGGAUGAAGGGCUUCGGCUCGUAAACUCCUUUCGACCGAGAUGAACAUCCGCAGGGCUAAUAUCCUUGUGGACUGACAGUAUCGAGGGAAGAAGUCCCGGCUAACUCCGUGCCAGCCGCCGCGGUAAUAC